GAGGCUGGCUGGAACAUGGACCCCCUCAGGAGGAUUUAUUGGAAUACGUGGACAAGUCACACAAGGAGAGAAGACUUGAUAUCUUUAGGGUUCCACCAUUGCAGGAAGCUCCCAAAUUAAUGUGUGCAAAAACUGGCUGUCUUGUGUAUUUACAUCCCCAGCACCUACCACAAUGCCUGCCACCUGGGGCCUGUUCCUCCCCCAACAUGGUGAAUUCAGCAGUGGAUCCUGAAAUGGAGACAUAGUAGGAGGGCCUGGAGCCACUGAAAACACUACACUAAGUGCAGCAAGGGAAGGCAGAGAGGAGACCCUCUGAUUCUCAGCAGCAUCUCUGGCCUUAGCAAGUCACCGGGUGAAUGACCUCAGAUCUAUCCUUUGCAUUGUGCCCUGGAUCAGCACACCUGUGUUCUCUAGAACCAGCUCCUCCAC